AGCAGCCGCGGUAAUUCCAGCUCCAAUAGCGUAUAUUAAAGUUGUUGCAGUUAAAAAGCUCGUAGUUGAAUUUCGGGGUUCUACCGUUGGUCGGGCUUUGUCUAUACUGACGUGUAGAAUUUCUACCUUCUGGGGAACCAUCAUGUUAUUAAUUUAACGUGGUGGGAAACCAGGACCUUUACCUUGAAAAAAUUAGAGUGUUCAAAGCAGGCUUAUGUCUGAAUACAUUAGCAUGGAAUAAUAGAAUAGGACGGUGGUCCUGUUUUGUUGGUUUCUGAAUCACCGUAAUGAUUAAUAGGGAUAGUUGGGGGCAUUAGUAUUCAAUUGUCAGAGGUGAAAUUCUUGGAUUUAUUGAAGACUAACUUCUGCGAAAGCAUUUGCCAAGGAUGUUUUCAUUAAUCAAGAACGAAAGUUAGGGGAUCGAAGACGAUCAGAUACCGUCGUAGUCUUAACCAUAAACUAUGCCGACUAGGGAUCGGACGAUGUUAAUUUUUCUUGACUCGUUCGGCGCCUUACGGGA
rnacentral:rRNA from 1 species